CAGGGGAUGAUGAGACACAGGUGUGGGGAAUCAGUGUGGGACCGACACACAAGGCAGGAAGAUGAGGAGCAGGAUCUGAAAAGACAGGGUCUCAACUCACAGCUCUAAACAUUAGAGCAAAUUAACUUCACUUCCUUCAAGAGUGCUUAAUUAUUAAUUGAGGACCUGAAGACAAUUUCAACCAAAAUCUUAAAAAGUGUAUCUGGAGAAAAUGACC